UACGUAGGAGACGAGCGUUGUCCGGAGUUACUGGGCGUAAAGGGCGCGCAGGCGGCCUAUCAGGUGUCUGGUGAAAGCUCCCGGCUUAACUGGGAGAGGUCCAGGCAAACCGUCAGGCUUGAGCGUCGGGGAGGGGCAUGGAAUUCCGGGUGGAGCGGUGAAAUGCGUAGAGAUCCGGAGGAACACCAAUGGCGAAGGCAGUGCCCUGGCCGACGGCUGACGCUCAGGCGCGAAAGCGUGGGGAGCAGACAGG
rnacentral:rRNA from 1 species